UCUAUGUUGCAAGUUUAACAAAAUAUUUUGAUAACUAUGUGUUAAUACUACUAAUUUCUGUUAUGAUCCUUAUCUAUUUUAGUUUGGGAUUUAAAAAUCUUAUUCUGAGAAGAGAGUGAUAGGCAUUCCUAGACUCAGAAGCGCCCAUGGCACAAAAACAGUGACCAAGCUGGACUAUUGGCUGGAGGGGCAUUUCCUGUUCCUGCUCCAAGGCAGAGGCUACUGCAAGGGCUGGACUGCAGGGCAGAUCGGCUUUGCCCACAUUCCUCUCUGAGACUUACUAGCGUGGGUCAUUGGGCAAGAAACCGCACCUUACCGUGCUUUGUUCCCACACUCUGUGGGGAGGUUUACAGGAGAGAACGCUGGGUACAAUACCCAGCAUGUGCAGUGGGCCUAAUCACAGCCAGCUUCUGGUGGAGGCCAGGACGACAGGGGCUUCCUUCAGCCCUGUAUUCAGAGAGGCUGAGAGGAACUGAACAGCCUGCUGGCUGUGGCAGCGGUUUCCUUCCCCAUCAGUCACGUGGGCCUUGUCCUGUCCCCGGAGCCUUGGGUCACAUGGCUCAUUGUGCCUGCGUUGCCAGGAGCCAGGAGCCAGGAGGAGAGCAGAGCGCCAACAUGAACUUGGGGGUCAGCAUGCUGAGGAUCCUCUUCCUCCUGGAUGUAGGAGGAGCUCAAGUGCUGGCAACAGGCAAGCCCCCUGGGGCUGAAAUCGAUUUCAAGUACGCCCUCAUCGGGACUGCUGUGGGCAUUGCUGUAUCUGCCAGCUUCCUGGCCCUGAAGAUCUGCAUGAUCAGGAGGCACUUAUUUGAUGACGACUCUUCCGACCUGAAAAGCGCACCUGGAGGCCUCAAUGGUGAGGGAUGCGGUGCUCAGGCCUGGCUCUGCCCGAUGAAGCCAGGCACCGAGGGCCACUCUGUGAUGCUGGCUACAGCAAGAACGAACCCACAAGCGCAGAGCCCAACAGGCUGUAAAGGAAGGCAAUGACCUCUCCAUGUUUCUGUCUCUCUUACUAUGUCUUUGCCUCUGUUUCUCUUUCUUCUGUCUCUCUCUCUCUGUCUAUUUGUGUUCCUUUUUCUGUUUCUCUUUCCAUCUCUUUGUCUUUCUGUGACUCUUUCCCUCUGUACCUUUCCUUUCCAUUGCUCUUGGCAGUCCUGAGAAUCACAUUUCCUGGAGAAAGAUGGGAGAGGAACUAAAAUUGGCUUCACACAGAAAUUUCUGUUCUCUCAUCCAAAUGAUGAGAUCAAAUAAACCCAGUGCCAGGAGGCAGUGAGGUUGGUCGUAAGUGUGGGUGGAUGGUGGGAGGUUCUGUUGACUGUGUGGGUCAAGAUGCAUUUUUUUUCAUAAAUUGGGAAAGUCCUUCUCAAAACAGUACUGAGUAGCCCCUCAGAUAGAAACUGAGCUGGCUGAUGUGCACCAUGGCACAGUCCUCCGCCUCCUUGGCACCCAAAAUGCAGUGUUGAUUUGCAUCCCUUCUCUCAGGGUAUCACCCCCAAACUCAUCCUCUGUUGUAUUAGAUAGCUCAGUACAAUGAUGGUGCAGUUUUCCACGGGGUGCUUCUGGGGAGAACAGAGCCUCACUGUCUUUCUGGAAGAUGUGAUUAUGAUCUGUGAAGAUAAGGAGAAGGGGCUGGUCUGGGCCAGGAGAGGAGGAGGCUUCCCAAGAUGCUGGCGUGUGCAUCACCUGAGGGGCUUAAUAGGCCAUGGGAGUUUGCUUAUCCCUGAGUUUGCUUAUCCUUGUGUAUCCCCACAAAUAAGGGGAGGAAACAGCCUCUUCAUCACAUGGCAGCCAGGCCCCGGAUCUCUCGAGGGCAUCAUGAAUGAGAGGACCCAGGAGAGGGAGGUGAAAGUUCCAGGGAACGCUCUGCACCUCUUGUCACAGGACCCCCUUCCUAAUGCCCGGCUUUCUCUGUUUAGACACCAUCCCGCUAAAGAAGAGAGCCCCAAGGCGAAACCACAAUUUCUCCGAAAGAGAUGCACAGGUGAUUGAGCUGUAGGUGAGCAGUGAUGUGAAGAGGGAUUCUAGCUCUGUGGACAGCGGCCCACGGUUAACGUCUCAGGAUGUUCUGCAUUCGAAAACCCAAGGCUGGUAAUGAACUUUCACAUGGACUGAAUAUUGGAAGUAAAUAAUAGAAGGAAUAGACUAUACAGUGCCUCUGUCCUGAAGGAAACUAUCACGCCUCUUCUGGAAAAAGCAGACUGCACAGAGGAAGCCUUGAGCACUUUAGCCUGCAGUAGGAAAAGGUGGACACCAAAAACUUCACCCUGUGUUGGAGCUGUUCAUGCUUCCAUGAGGGCAUGGUGUCCAUGUCCGUGAAACCUACUACAGAAAAUGGCUCAUGAAAAGGGGAAUCGGACCCAACACACAGCUUCCUAUGCACUGCCAUCUUCUCAUCAGUUAGGCAAUACUUUGUAGAACGAUUAGCUUCACCUCUUAGCUGCCGGAAGAUCCCUUCUUAAAGAUGGACUCUGUGAAGAUUCGGGAGUCCUGAAACAUGGGGUCUCCGGGAUGGUCUCCAGCCCUAUCGAUGAUGAACACUGGUCUUCUGGAGGGUAAAUGGCAGCCUGGGCUGGUGUGGGAGGAAGGGCUUUGGCGUUCAUGGAAUGGGCCUGCUGCUCUCAGACCUUCAAAGGACAGAACCAACAAAGGACCAAAUAAGAAAGCAGAUACUGUGCCUUAUAGAGGGCCAUGAAUGUCAGUUAUUAUUUUUUCUCCUUAUAUAAUUAUUUUGUGGUUAUUAAUACAAUGUGCAUGGCUGUUGCAUAAAAGACAUGACUGGUGGAGGCUCAGGAAAGCCACGUCAUUCUAUAAUUGCCAUCAGGCUAAGGCCCCAUGAGCAAUUUUCUCCCUUGUAAUAUUAACCCUGUGUUUCUGGGAUCACAUCAUGGAGUUUUCUUUGCUUUUCCACUUUCCAGGAAAUCUUUUGGACUGGGCUGCCUUCUUCAUGUGUGAUGAAAGAUGAGCUGUAUUUCAGAACAAAGUGCUGUGUUGUCAUAAUUUGCCUGACUCCCAGGGCGUCUCUUAUGCAACCUGAUAACGAUACUGUUCAUUAGCAGCCUUUGUUAACUGAUAACCAAGAGUGGUAACGUGAUACUCAUAAGCAAUUUUCUGUGUGUAAGAUAAAAUAAACCAUCUUGUAUGGGAUCUGCUAAUUGA